AUUGAACGCUGGCGGCAUGCUUUACACAUGCAAGUCGAACGGUAACAGGCCGCAAGGUGCUGACGAGUGGCGAACGGGUGAGUAAUGCAUCGGAACGUGCCCAGUCGUGGGGGAUAACGCAGCGAAAGCUGCGCUAAUACCGCAUACGAUCUCUGGAUGAAAGCGGGGGACCGAAGGGCCCCGCGCGAUUGGAGCGGCCGAUGUCAGAGUAGGUAGUGGGUGGGGUACAGGCUCACCAAGCCAACGAUCUGUAGCUGGUCUGAGAGGACGACCAGCCACACUGGGACUGAGACGCGGCCCAGACUCCUACGGGAGGCAGCAGUGGGGAAUUUUGGACAAUGGGCGCAAGCCUGAUCCAGCAAUGCCGCGUGCAGGAAGAAGGCCUUCGGGUUGUAAACUGCUUUUGUACGGAACGAAACGGUCCUGGUUAAUACCUAGGGCUAAUGACGGUACCGUAAGAAUAAGCACCGGCUAACUACGUGCCAACAGCCGCAGUAACAC
rnacentral:rRNA from 1 species